ACCCAAGCCAUGGAAAACCGAUUCCUUUUUCAUAUCAUAAGGGAAGAAGAGAGCUUCAGCAGCAAAGUGCCGUAUCAUUUCAUGCUUCACCGGUUUGGGUUUCUCUUUCUUAAACUCGUCCUUCAAACCCCCAGAAGAAAUUUCCUAAGAAGCAAUUUGUGAUGCAUCAUUCAGACUAAGAAUCAGAGAUUAAAAGACGCUUAGGUUGCAAAGCUAUUUACUCCAAUUCUCAUCAACAACAACAUCUAUGAACCCUAAAACCCAAAAGGAAUCACCAAUUGGUUUCACAACACAAGGAGCAUUCGCUGCAACAAAAGAAACUUCCUCACAUCCAACCUAUUGAAAUCCCAACUUCAGUUCUCAAUUUCUUGAGAGAAAGUGGUGGAUUCAUUCAAAAAUACCCAAAUCAGGUUCCUUUCUUUCUUCUUCUUCUACCCCUAUUAAUCUGAGUGCUCCAUUAUUGAAGUUAGUUAAAGUGUUUUUUUCGGCACAAAAAUGGAAACAAGGUUUUGUUUGUAUUAUGAUUAUUGGAUAAAUGAAAAAACUUAAGAUUCAGAGACAUCGAUGAAUUCAACUGUUACUUGCAUUCUGUUAUGGUAGGAUCAUGCCAUACAUCACACUCUUAUGACUGUUAAUCUGAUUACUGUAAUAGCAAAGUUAUGGUGUUCUUUUCAUUGUAAUUCAAGUUGUUUUUCACGGAGUACACUCUAUUGCGACUGCCGUUUUGGUAAGGAUAUUUGGAGAUGGUUGUGUAAUGUGUUCCCCUUUCAAAUUCCUGGUGGUUUUUCUGACAUCAUCACUAUGACUAAGAAUAAGAGUCCAGUUGUUAAGGAAAUUUGGAUUGCUGCUGCUUUUUGUACAAUGCCGGAGUUGUAGUUUCUCAUAAGUAGAGUUGUUUUCGAGGAGUCUGGUACUGACAGGAAGAAGCUGAAAAUUUGAUUUGUCUUUUAACCAUUAUGGGUUGAGAUUGAAAGGUGAUAGGUGGUCUGAGCUUUAUGAUGGUCAAAUUCUGCAAUUCUUUGGGAUAAUGGCUGGACUCUGGAGAAUGAAAAUUCAGUGUACGUAGGAUCUUCCAGUUGAAUGCUUUAUCAUUCGAUGGUGCAGCAAAAGGGUUUUAUGGUUUUUAUUGCCAGAAAUCACUUUGGUCUUUGUGUUAAAAGCUGUAGCUGAGGGCUUUGGGUUCUGCUACUAACUUCAUAGCUGAAAUUAUGGCUAUCACUUUUUCCUUUGGAGUGGGCUUAAUAGUCAGGAAUUGAAGAUGGUUUUGAUUUGGUCAGACUCGAGUCUAGCUAGUCAUGCUUUUCUGGCAAGUAAAUUAUCUAGGUAUGUCACAGCAAGAUGGAGAAGAAUCAUUUUGAGGCAAUUGAAUUCAAACAUUGCUAGUUGAUUUUUCAGCAGAUAGAUUGACCAAGGAAGGGGCUUAGUUAACAGAGGGAAAUCUAUUACUUUUGAUUCCAUUCCUCCUUUUCUUACUUAGAAUGCCCUGAGCAAAUUUACUAUCGUUUUGUGUAGUGUAUUCUGAAAUAAUUGGUCAGGGUCUUUCUAGUUGGUCGAUAGGUUUGUAAUGUCUUUUGGCUUCUUUUGGCAGUAAAUUUUGAUGGUUUAUCAACAAAAACAAAAAUUCAAGGGUAGUUAAUCAGUGAUCUGAUAAUAUGCCAAUAGUCCUGUAAUAUUAACUUCGUAGUUGAUACUUACACUCCUUCAAGUUUUAUCUGUUACUUACACUCCUUCAAGUUUUAUCGAGCUUAUUGAUAAUUCAGGUAUUGGGCAGGGAAGGUCACCAUGCACAACUUUAUCUGGGGGAUCUUCAGCUGUAUGUUCUAUGGAAAGCUAAACAAGGUACUGGAGGGGGACGUCCAAUGGCAACAAAAGCUUCUCUAAUGCGUGGACAGUCAAAUCUGUGGAUGUUAUGCCCUGCCCAAACUUUACCAUCUAGCAGACCAAAAAUCCUGUCAGCGACAUCUUCAAACUUGGGAGCGGUUCUAACAGCUGCACGUGUGAUUCCAUCAACUCGUCCAGAUCUGAGGUUAACCACCGAUAAGUCUGUGGGUCUUAUCAGUGUACAAUAACUCUCUAGCUCUUCAAGCUUCUGUGGACAAACAACAAUAGCACCAAAUUCCAAGACCCAAAUCCUCGCUCCUGCUUUUCUCGGUACCGUUGUUUCUAAAUCGAAAAACACUAUUUCAGCAACAUUUUGGGAAGACAUCUUUGAUUUCAGCAUCUGUUGUUUCUUGUUCUCAAUACAGUUUAUGUUUAAUUUUCUAUGAUUUUCUUGUUUGUUUGUUUGCUCUUGUGACCAUGUCAGUUUAUACAUAUGAGGUGACCUCAAAGUAGGGAGAAAGGAAAGACAAUUUUUGGGGUUGAUUGUCUUGUGAAUUAAGUUAAGAGUUAGGAUGAAGGUGUCCUUGACUUCAUGGGGUUGUACAGUUGAGACAAAUUCUCGUCGGUCUAGGAAUAAUUACAGCAAAAAAGCAUUCAAUUUGCUUUUGGAAUGGA